GCCGCCGUAGCUCAGUCGGUAGAGCACCUGACUGUGGAUCAGGGUGUCAUCGGUUCGAAUCCGAUCGGCGGUUCCA
rnacentral:tRNA from 1 species